rnacentral:rRNA from 1 species
UACGUAGGGGGCAAGCGUUAUCCGGAUUCAUUGGGCGUAAAGAGCGCGUAGGCGGCUUGGUAAGUCAGGUGUGAAAACCGGGGGCUCAACCCGCGGCCUGCACCUGAAACUGCCAGGCUUGAGUCUGGUAGAGGAAAGUGGAAUUCCCAGUGUAGCGGUGAAAUGCGCAGAUAUUGGGAGGAACACCAGUGGCGAAGGCGGCUUUCUGGGCCACGACUGACGCUGAGGCGCGAAAGCUAGGGGAGCAAACAGG